AUUAAAUUUUCUUAAUAGUACGACUAAUGUAGAUAAACAAAGCUUUAUACAUUUGAAUAUUGGAUAAUAUAUCUUCCAAUUGGCGGGGAAUACUUUCAAUGUUACUAUUUACACAUGUACCACUAUCACAUAAAUCGUUCGCUAAUAAUAAACGGUCAAUUCCAAACGCAGGGCACCGAAGUACGAUAUGAUCCAAAUCAGCAUUUGCUUGAUUACAGUAAGAACAUCUGUUACUAUUCACUAAAUGAAGUCUAUAAAGAUGUGCUGGAGUCAAACAGUGUCCCAACCUCAUGCGUGUGAUGCAGCUAAAAAACUUUCUGUCAAUAUAUUUGUGUUGAUGAUACCAAGGUUUCGUUGGUAAUUCUUUCUGUAUUUUGCUGUACCAUUUUCCUUUGGUCUGCAGGGUAUUGUCCCAUGUACAAGUGAAGGAGCAGUGACUACAUUAGAUGAGACUGGUUCUAUGUCCAGAGGACUCAAUUCGAAGUUGUUUGUGAAGAAUGCUAUUGUUUAAGGAUACUAUUUUCAAAUAAAAUCUUUGGGCCAACUGUAAUCUACGCAAAACCAGAGGAGGAGAGACACAGUAUGAUGAUGGUUGCACAUUUAUCUCAAGAAAAGUUGGAAGGUGGUAACUACCCAUUGGGUCAUCAUGAACAUACCAAUUGCAAAGAUGAGCAAUAGAAGAACUAGUAAGAGCCAAAUCUAAUGCAGCAGCCUGUCUACCAGGAUAAGGGACCGUUGUUGUAGAUCCAUCAUUUAAAAUGCAUAAAUCACAAUCAUCUAUAAGGUUAAACAAGCAUUUACCCCUAUUGUUGUCAUAAUUAGAUCCAAAAGCCAUGUGAUGAGCAUUAAAAUCACCCAUUAUAACACAAGGCCUUGGUAAGGAAUUUAUAAGUCUCUUCAAUUUUAAAUCAUCAAA